rnacentral:rRNA from 1 species
UACGGCUCAGUAACACGUGGCUAAUCUGCCCUUAGGACGAGAACAACCCCGGGAAACUGGGGCUAACUCUCGAUAGGCGAAGAACUCUGGAAUGAGUCUUCACCUAAAUAGUUCGGCGUUAUGCUCGUUGGACCGCCUAAGGAUGAGGCCGCGACCGAUCAGGUUGUUGGUGAGGUAAUGGCUCACCAAGCCUUUUACCGGUGCGGGCCGUGAGAGCGGGAGCCCGGAGAUGGGCACUGAGACAAGGGCCCAGGCCCUACGGGGCGCAGCAGUCGCGAAAACUUUGCAAUACACGAAAGUGUGACAGGGCUAUCCCGAGUGCCAUCCGCUGAGGAAGGCUUUUACCCAGUCUAGAAAGCUGGGGGAAUAAGGAGAGGGCAAGUCUGGUGUCAGCCGCCGCGGUAAUACCAGCUCUCCGAGUGGUGUGGAUGUUUAUUGGGCCUAAAGCAUCCGUAGCUGGCUAAGUUAGUCCCUUGUUAAAUCCACCGAAUUAAUCGUUGGAUCGCGGGGGAUACUGCUUGGCUAGGGGACGAGAGAGGCAGACGGUAUUUUCGGGGUAGGGGUGAAAUCCUAUAAUCCCGGGAAGACCACCAGUGGCGAAGGCUGUCUGCUAGAACGCGCCCGACGGUGAGGGAUGAAAGCUGGGGGAGCGAACCGGAUUAGAUACCCGGGUAGUCCCAGCUGUAAACGAUGCAGGCUAGGUGUUUGGACGGCCACGUGCCGUUCUAGUGCCGCAGGGAAGCUGUUAAGCCUGCCGCCUGGGGAGUACGAUCGCAAGAUUGAAACUUAAAGGAAUUGGCGGGGGAGCACA